rnacentral:lncRNA from 1 species
GGGGAUUCUCGUGGUGAGGGUGUGUUCAGUGGGGACAUCCAGGAGCCAGUGAGAAAGGCUUUGAUGGGACGGUGCAAAUCUAUGAUGUCACAUCAUGGGAUGGAAAGAAAACCCAGGUGGAGGCUCUUUUCAUCCACAAAGGCCACAUCUUCCUGGAUGGGAAUGAGGUCGAGUCUGCUCCUCUGGUCACCACCCAUACCUGGCACCCAAGCAAACCCAGAACUUUGCUGUCAGCAGCAAGCGAUGCCGCUCUGCAUGUGUGGGACUGGGUUGACCUCCAGGCCUCCUGACAGCAGCAGCUUCUCUCAUCUGACAAGAGGAGCUGCCUGAGAGGCUGAUGAGGACUCUGAGUGACCACAGGUCUACCACAGCCAUUGGCUUCAGGCAAGCUAGCCUGGCCUUCCGUUGUUCUUAUCUGUAAAAUGAAGGUGUAGUAACUACCACCUAGUACUGUGGGGAGCGUCACAAGAAAAUUACCUGAGAAUAAUGGCAUAAAUGUCUGGAAGCGACCAUUGUCUCUAGGAGCCUUGCCUGUCCAAGUCUAUCAGCAGACUGUGUUCCUGUCUUCACAGCAUCAUGGUGAGAAUCAGGAGAGCUAGAGUGUGAAUAUGGGUGUGAACUUUUUCACAGAAGGAAUCAAUGCCUCAGGGCCAAUAAACAUUGAAAAGAAUACCAGUAAGAAGCAAA